UAGGAAUCUUCCACAAUGGGCGAAAGCCUGAUGGAGCGACGCCGCAUGAGGGAUGAAGGCCUUAGGGUUGUAAACCUCUAAAAGAGGGACGAUAAUGACGGUACCUCUUGAAUAGCACCGGCUAACUCCGUGCCAGCAGCCGCGGUAAUACGGAGGGUGCAAGCGUUAUCCGGAAUCACUGGGCGUAAAGGGCGCGUAGGCGGUCUGUUAAGUCCGAUGUUAAAUCCCGGGGCUCAACCCCGGAUAAGCGUUGGAUACUGGCAGGCUAGACGGUUGGAGAGGCGAGUGGAAUUACCAGUGUAGCGGUGGAAUGCGUAGAUACUGGUAGGAACACCCAUUGCGAAGGCAGAUCGCUGGACAACACGUGACGCUGAGGCGCGAAAGUGUGGGGAGCAAAC
rnacentral:rRNA from 1 species